rnacentral:rRNA from 1 species
CCCUUAGAUGUUCUGGGCCGCACGCGCGCUACACUGAUGCAUUCAACGAGUCUAAAACCUGGUCUGAUAGGGCUGGGUAAUCUUUUGAAAGUGCAUCGUGAUUGGGAUAGAUGAUUGCAAUUCUUCAUCUUCAACGAGGAAUGCCUAGUAAACGCAAGUCAUCAGCUUGCAUUGAUUACGUCCCUGCCCUUUGUACACACCGCCCGUCGCUCCUACCGAUUGAAUGAUCCGAUGAAUACCAUGGAUUGAGAGUACGAAUGGGUUCGCUCAUUUCUGCUGCUCGAGAAGUGGAGUAAAUCUUAUCAUUUAGAGGAAGGUGAAGUCGUAACA